GAGAGAGAGAGGGAGAUGAGACAUACCUGUUGUGAGUGAGAUUCGAGAGAGUUGGCUACUGUGAGUGUGAGAGAGCUUCUGUUCUUGGUGGCGUGACAAAAUAACUAUGUUUGUUAGGGUUUUCUUAAUUUAUGUGUUAAAAAAUAAUUAAAAAAGAAAAAAAAAGUUAUGUUAGCUGCUCUAAGGCGGCGCCACGUUAACUAGGGUGGUCACCUCCCUAAAGUAAAGGCCAAGCGAAGUCUUCGUCAUCAAACCUUGGAGGUAUUUCAUAUAUACUUCUUCCUUUAAGUCUUCAUGUAAAAAAAGCAUUCUUGACAUCAAAUUGUUGUAAAUUCCAGUUAAGAUUUGCUGCGUAUAAUAAUAAAACCCUGAUAAUGUUUAUUUUUACAAUGGAAGCAAAGGUCUUCUAAUAAUCCACCACAAACAUUAAACCCUUUGUUACCAAUUUGGUUUUGUAUCUCUCAAUUGAGCCAUCUACUUUUUGCUUUACAGUGAACACCCAUUUGCUUUCAACUGGUUUCUUUCCAGCAAGGAGAGUAACAAGAUCCCAUGUCUCAUUCUUUACCAAAGCUUUCAUCUCCUCA
rnacentral:misc_RNA from 1 species